rnacentral:rRNA from 1 species
CGCUAGGUGUGGGUCCAUUCCACGGGGUCCGUGCCGCAGCUAACGCAUUAAGCGCCCCGCCUGGGGAGUACGGCCGCAAGGCUAAAACUCAAAGGAAUUGACGGGGGCCCGCACAAGCGGCGGAGCAUGCGGAUUAAUUCGAUGCAACGCGAAGAACCUUACCAAGGCUUGACAUGUACCGGAAACUCUCAGAGAUGGGGGCCCCGCAAGGUCGGUACACAGGUGGUGCAUGGUUGUCGUCAGCUCGUGUCGUGAGAUGUUGGGUUAAGUCCCGCAACGAGCGCAACCCUCGUUCUAUGUUGCCAGCACGUGAUGGUGGGGACUCAUAGGAGACUGCCGGGGUCAACUCGGAGGAAGGUGGGGAUGACGUCAAAUCAUCAUGCCCCUUACGUCUUGGGCUUCACGCAUGCUACAAUGGCCGGUACAGAGGGCUGCGAUACCGCGAGGUGGAGCGAAUCCCUUAAAGCCGGUCUCAGUUCGGAUUGGGGUCUGCAACUCGACCCCAUGAAGUCGGAGUCGCUAGUAAUCGCAGAUCAGCAACGCUGCGGUGAAUACGUUCCCGGGCCUUGUACACACCGCCCGUCAAGUCACGAAAGUCGGUAACACCCGAAGCCGGUGGCCCAACCCCUUGUGGGAGGGAGCUGUCGAAGGUGGGGCUG